rnacentral:rRNA from 1 species
UACAGAGGUCUCGAGCGUUAGGCGGAAUCACUGGGCGUAAAGCGUGCGCAGGCGGUUAUGUAAGACAGGUGUGAAAUCCCCGGGCUUAACCUGGGAACUGCAUUUGUGACUGCAUAGCUAGAGUACGGUAGAGGGGGAUGGAAUUCCGCGUGUAGCAGUGAAAUGCGUAGAUAUGCGGAGGAACACCGAUGGCGAAGGCAAUCCCCUGGACCUGUACUGACGCUCAUGCACGAAAGCGUGGGGAGCAAACAGG